rnacentral:rRNA from 1 species
GAUGAACGCUGGCGGCGUGCCUAAUACAUGCAAGUCGAGCGAACAGACGAGGAGCUUGCUCCUCUGACGUUAGCGGCGGACGGGUGAGUAACACGUGGAUAACCUACCUAUAAGACUGGGAUAACUUCGGGAAACCGGAGCUAAUACCGGAUAAUAUAUUGAACCGCAUGGUUCAAUAGUGAAAGACGGUUUUGCUGUCACUUAUAGAUGGAUCCGCGCCGCAUUAGCUAGUUGGUAAGGUAACGGCUUACCAAGGCAACGAUGCGUAGCCGACCUGAGAGGGUGAUCGGCCACACUGGAACUGAGACACGGUCCAGACUCCUACGGGAGGCAGCAGUCGGGAAUCUUCCGCAAUGGGCGAAAGCCUGACGGAGCAACGCCGCGUGAGUGAUGAAGGUCUUCGGAUCGUAAAACUCUGUUAUUAGGGAAGAACAAAUGUGUAAGUAACUAUGCACGUCUUGACGGUACCUAAUCAGAAAGCAACGGCUAACUACGUG